UAACAAGGUUUCCGUAGGUGAACCUGCGGAAGGAUCAUUCACAAGAUUAUAAUAUUUUAUUACUUUGUGGAAAAUUUGGUUGAAUUUACAUGUUUUAUUACAAAAAAUUAAUUAUAAUUAAAAAAAUAAUUUUAAGAAAACCUCCAACAACGGAUCUCUUGGUUCCCAGAUCGAUGAAGAGCGCAGCGAAUUGCGAAAUGUGAUGUGUAUUGCAGUGAAUCAUCAAUUCUUGAACGCACAUGGCACCCCUUUUAGGGGUAUGCUUGUAUGAGGGUGUUUAAUAUGAAAUUGCUUUGGCUUUUUUUAAAUAAAUGGUUUUUCAAACAUUGUUACUAAUAAAGAUGAAAGAAUCAGUGCAACAAGCUGUGUUGAAUCUUUCAAUUAAAAUCUUUUUUAGUUAACAUUUUUUAACUAUUUACGCCUCAUAUCAAGCAAGACUACCCGCUGAACUUAAGCAUAUCAAUAA
rnacentral:misc_RNA from 1 species